rnacentral:rRNA from 1 species
AUUGAACGCUGGCGGCAGGCCUAACACAUGCAAGUCGAACGGUAACAGGAAGAAGCUUGCUUCUUUGCUGACGAGUGGCGGACGGGUGAGUAAUGUCUGGGAAACUGCCUGAUGGAGGGGGAUAACUACUGGAAGCGGUAGCUAAUACCGCAUAACGUCGCAAGACCAAAGAGGGGGACCUUCGGGCCUCUUGCCAUCGGAUGUGCCCAGAUGGGAUUAGCUAGUAGGUGGGGUAACGGCUCACCUAGGCGACGAUCCCUAGCUGGUCUGAGAGGAUGACCAGCCACACUGGAACUGAGACACGGUCCAGACUCCUACGGGAGGCAGCAGUGGGGAAUAUUGCACAAUGGGCGGAAGCCUGAUGCAACCAUGCCGCGUGUAUGAAGAAGGCCUUCGGGUUGUAAAGUACUUUCAGCGGGGAGAAAGGGAGUAAAGUUAAUACCUUGGCUCAUUGACGUUACCCGCAGAAGAAGCACCGGCUAACUCCGUG